GAGAUCCAAGCGUCAUACACUUACAAAAUAACGUGAAAAUCUAUAUAAUCCGUGCAUGUGUGUAUACGCAGGUCGCCGGGCUCACGACCACCGACGAGGACCCGACAGGAUGCCCCAAAGUUUUCCCGUUGUGGAGCCGCACCAUGGUUAUCCAGCCAUCUUUCCACCAAACCUUCUAUCCAUCAUUCAUCCAGUAAACCAGCCAUCUGUUUAUCCAAUGGAUGGAUGGAUGAAAGGGCGGCUAGAUUAAUCUCCUGGCUCAGAGGUAAAGGUGGAUCGUGGGAAGAGCUGAUUCUGGGGUCAGUUGGUCCAGGUCAGCUUCAGCGGGACAGCAGGAUUUAUGGAGACGGGAAAGUUCAGCUGGAGAGCGUCAGGUCUGAGCUCACUGAUGUGGCGAACAGCAUGGAUGUGCACAUCACUCACGCAGGCCCCAAAGUAAAUACACCGCCGGCCAUUUCUCCGAGAGCUCCUCCUCUUCCUCCUCCUCCUCGUCAUCAUCAUCAUCAUCGUCUGAGAGUUCAAGGUCACCGUGAGGUUAUUUCCAGCUCGUCUUGGCUUUGAUCUGUGUCUCAAAAUGACAAGGUAACGCAACUCGGGGGGUCAGCUGUGUUACAGGAACGCUUCCACGGAUCGAGGAAGAGGAAAUCAAUCCUGGCUGACAGUGUCUUCGGGAUACUCCGACCUGACUGGACUAUGACAACUAAACACACACGCGCGCAGCUGCCAAAUAUAGCGCACCGACGCUGCAGCUGUCGCUCGGCCCGACAGAGACGACCUCUGUCAACUCCGCUUCAUCUGUCGUCUCGUCAAGGUGCAUCGGAGAGACAAGGUGUCGGCCAAAAAGUUCAUCAGCGACUAACUGCUUCUGAAAAGUCCCUUUCAGGAAGUUCCCUGUAAGGCUUGCCCGCCAUUUAGGAACGACACAGCCAGGAGGUUGUUGUGUUUUGGAGUCCGUCUCCACAGGAACACGUUGUGGGGCUGCUGAGAGUCGUGGGGACAUCACCGGGACCAAACCUUGUUUUUCUUGAAUGGACAUCUUGCCGCAUCAGUUGGGUAUCGAUAAGUGAUCGAUAAGAUCGUUGCCUCUGAAGUUUCUGACGAAUGUGCCAUCUUUGUAAUUAGCUCUGAAGCAACAUAUGAAACAUUAAACUCGGCGAGCGGCAAGGACAAUCAAAACAUUUCAUUUCCCCUCAAUUAUUCAUCACUUUGAAGGUUCUGAAGGGUCGUUAAUAUGCUAAUCAGCUUGUGAUGCUAACAAGGUUGUAGUAUCGGAUUCUUAAUCUUUUUUUGGCUAAUAUUGCAUAUUUUCUGACCCUCUGUGGUGGGUUCUUUUCAUUGUUAACGUCUUCAAACAAACCUGAUUUUCUGAGCAAACCAGCCUUCCUUCAUCCACCGUAUGAAAGCCAGAGCAGAAGAAAAGCUGCUUUUGAUGGACCUCUUUGAUGGCUUCAAGCAUCUCCUCCAAAAUCAAGCUGAAGUGCACCAAAGCAAAUGUUUCCUCUUUUAUUUUCUCGCUUUCUUUCUCUCUUUUUUUGUACCUGACUUCAUUAACGUGUGCUUCCCCUCAGAGGCUGUCACAGCAGACCUGCCAAGAGAGCGGCCGCAAAAGUUCCCUGUCUGCAGCUUUUCACGCUUUAGUUCCCCUACAAUUAAUUAACAGGAUGAAGUCCCACACACCACCUCGCCGCCGUGGCUACCUUUGCCAGCUGUCAAAUUGGAGAGACAUGGACUGGAAAAAUAAGCCCGAGGUCGAGGCUAUUUAAGGUAAUUAGUUUUUGAUGCAUGCAGCUUUCAAAUCGUACUGUUCCCCAAAACUCAGCACGUGUGUGUGUUUGUGUAUGU
ensembl:lncRNA